GCUUGCAACGCUUACUACUUUGCGCCUGGGUACGAGGUUGCCUCGUGGAUAAGAGCCUUGUUUUCAUCGUCGUAAUAUAUUGUGAUAAACAUGACACCAUUUUGUUGUGAUGGUCUGGGAACAAAGCGCUAGUAAAUUAUGUUUUUGGACAAUUUAUCGCCAUCCUGAUAUGGUUGAUUCAAAUAUGAACAGUUCUGGCAAAGACUUAAUCUUGACGUAGGAAAUACUUCCCGCUUGUAAACACGCAAGUACAUGCACGAAAAGGCAUCUGAAAAAUCAACAAACUCAGUGGAGACUGAUGAUGCAUGAGUGUCUGAAGAUGUCAAGGUGGCUGAUGUGAUAUAGAAUAUCUAUAUCUGUGCGCAGUAGACAAUGACCGAUUUGAAUGCGGAAAAAAGGAAAAAUAUAUACCCGCACUAUAUCUCAUUGGUGAAAAUGACUUGCUGUCGACAAUUACGACUAAACGUAAACAAGGUUAAAUCGGCUGAAGUUUUAAAGACCUUGCCAUAUGCAUACUCUUGAAUAAAGGAAGCGAAGAAGACAUAUUCCCAAUAAGGUCGUGAAAUGGAUCAAAAGGAAUGCACCAUGAUGAAAGUAAGGGUAAAGCUUCUUUUUCCGUUUAGAAGAUUAAAUUUUCAUGGAUUUAGGUUUGUAUAUUCCUAAAGGUAAGUCACUUGAAACAACUGUACUAAUGCAGUUUUGUAUUUCAAAUGUUUGUGUUAAACCGUUGUUUUAUUCAUAUAUAGUAUAUGCUGAUAAUUAUUUAACUAAUCAAACAUGUUGUUUGUUUUAGCUACGUCUCUGAUCUGUUUAUAUAUUGCAUGAUUUUUGUCUGGAAGGGAAGACAUUGAUUUGAUGCCUCUCCGAAAGUUUUUUUUGACUUUCAUCUGCCAGACUUUGAGUUCCAAGGAAAAGAUUGAAUCUCAACAUGAAAAUAGUUUGUUUUUUGCGAGUUUUUGCAAACUAUGUCAUAUUUCUUGUUGUAAUUGAAUCUUAAAUUUCUUGGAACAUCUUCGCGAUGUUUGUGCAAAUUGCUCAAACUCAUCGCAAUGCGCUUAUGUUAAAUUUGUUCUUAAUUCAUUGCAUGCUUACUGCUUACUGAUCAGUGUAUGGCCCAGUUUAUACGUCGUAUUUUGGUCGCGUCGAAUGCAAUUCAAACAA